rnacentral:lncRNA from 1 species
UGCUACUCUAGCAACCAGCAUUGCAGAAACCGUAGAAAAUGGAUCGCCUAUUCACAACCAAAAAAACUUCUUAAAGUGUCAGAAAGUAAAAUAUAUUACUCCAUAAAAAGGGAAAUGGGACGCGGAAGAACUGAGAACAUCAAAAUCUGUCAUUCUUUUGAACAGUGGCAGACCAAUGCAAAUGAUGAUAACUGAAAAAAAUAAGGAAACAAAGCGAUUCAUGGGACUGUAUAAGCAUAUCUUAGGCUCAGGAGCAUAAUACAACUGAAAAAGUCUACUUUUGGGUUGUACUUUUGUAUCCUAAGUUUCGUUUGAAUCUUAGGAUGCUUGAUCUACUAAAUUAAUUACUUGGUCCAAAAAGGAAGUAGAAAUGGCGGAAGAGAUAAAUUUUAUGCCAAAAAGGAAAAGGACAAUGGUCGAGUGAAGAUAUUCAACUAUAUCUCAAGCAAAAAAAUGAAUCUUGAUGGCUAUAUUUCCUAACAUAACAUGAUAGCUUAAACUAAACUUGCAACUGAGGAUUUCAAAGUCAGAAAGUAUACCUGCUUGCUGUCUUUCGGAAUAACUUUCCUUCUUUCCAGGCAAGCUUAUUUAUUGUACUUUUGCUUCACGGGCAUGUUUGUGACAUUACAACUACAUCCAGAGCCAAUGGUAUAGCACAUAGCUAAUGGACAUGUAGUUUCACUAAUAUUGUUGUUCCACACACCAUAUAAAGAUCCU